AGGGUGCGAGCGUUGUUCGGAAUCACUGGGCGUAAAGCGCGUGUAGGCGGCCCAUUAAGUCUGAUGUGAAAGCCCGGGGCUCACCCCCGGAAGUGCAUUGGAAACUGAUGGACUCGAGUCCCGGAGAGGAGAGUGGAAUUCCUGGUGUAGCGGUGAAAUGCGUAGAUAUCAGGAGGAACACCGGUGGCGAAGGCGGCGACCUGGGUCGAGACUGACGCUGAGGCGCGAAAGCGUGGGGAGCAAACAGG
rnacentral:rRNA from 1 species